GACGAACGCUGGCGGCGUGCUUAACACAUGCAAGUCGAACGGAAAGGCCCUGCUUUUGUGGGGUGCUCGAGUGGCGAACGGGUGAGUAACACGUGAGUAACCUGCCCUUGACUUUGGGAUAACUUCAGGAAACUGGGGCUAAUACCGGAUAGGAGCUCCUGCUGCAUGGUGGGGGUUGGAAAGUUUCGGCGGUUGGGGAUGGACUCGCGGCUUAUCAGCUUGUUGGUGGGGUAGUGGCUUACCAAGGCUUUGAUGGGUAGCCGGCCUGAGAGGGUGACCGGCCACAUUGGGACUGAGAUAUGGCCCAGACUCCUACGGGAGGCAGCAGUGGGGAAUAUUGCACAAUGGGCGGAAGCCUGAUGCAGCAACGCCGCGUGCGGGAUGACGGCCUUCGGGUUGUAAACCGCUUUCGCCUGUGACGAAGCGUGAGUGACGGUAAUGGGUAAAGAAGCACCGGCUAACUACGUG
rnacentral:rRNA from 1 species